UACAGAGGUCUCAAGCGUUGUUCGGAAUCACUGGGCGUAAAGGGUGCGUAGGCCGCACGGAAAGUCAGAGGUGAAAUCCCGGAGCUCAACUUCGGAAUUGCCUCCGAUACUCCCGUGCUUGAGGACUGGAGAGGAGUCUGGAAUUCACAGUGGAGCAGUGAAAUGCGUAGAUAUUGUGAGGAACACGAGUGGCGAAGGCGAGACUCUGGACAGUUCCUGACGCUGAGGCACGAAGGCCAGGGGAGCGAACGGG
rnacentral:rRNA from 1 species